rnacentral:rRNA from 1 species
UACGAACCAUCCAAACGUUAUUCGGAAUCACUGGGCUUAAAGGGUGCGUAGGCGGCGUGAUAAGUUGGGUGUGAAAUCCCUCAGCUCAACUGAGGAAUAGCGCCCAAUACUGUUAUGCUCGAGGAAGACAUAGGUGAGCGGAACUUAGGGUGGAGCGGUGAAAUGCGUUGAUAUCCUAAGGAACACCAGUAGCGAAAGCGGCUCACUGGGUCUUAUCUGACGCUGAUGCACGAAAGCCAGGGGAGCGAACGGG